UACUCGAGUGGCGAACGGGUGAGUAACACGUGGGUGAUCUGCCCUGCACUUCGGGAUAAGCUUGGGAAACUGGGUCUAAUACCGGAUAGGAGCCAUCUUUGGUGUGGUGGUUGGAAAGUUUUUUCGGUGUAGGAUGAGCUCGCGGCCUAUCAGCUUGUUGGUGGGGUAAUGGCCUACCAAGGCGGCGACGGGUAGCCGGCCUGAGAGGGUGUACGGCCACAUUGGGACUGAGAUACGGCCCAG
rnacentral:rRNA from 1 species